rnacentral:rRNA from 1 species
UACAGAGGUCUCAAGCGUUGUUCGGAUUCAUUGGGCGUAAAGGGUGCGUAGGUGGCGCCGUAAGUCGGGUGUGAAAUUUCGGAGCUUAACUCCGAAACUGCAUUCGAUACUGCCGUGCUUGGGGACUGGAGAGGAGACUGGAAUUUACGGUGUAGCGGUGAAAUGCGUAGAUAUCGUAAGGAAGACCAGUGGCGAAGGCGGGUCUCUGGACAGUUCCUGACGCUGAGGCACGAAGGCCAGGGGAGCAAACGGG